UACGGAGGGGGCGAGCGUUAUUCGGAAUUAUUGGGCGUAAAGGGCUCGUAGGCGGCCAACUAAGUCGGACGUGAAAUCCCCAGGCUCAACUUGGGAACUGCGUCCGAUACUGGAUGGCUUGAAUUCGGGAGAGGGAUGCAGAAUUCCAGGUGUAGCGGUGAAAUGCGUAGAUAUCUGGAGGAAUACCGGUGGCGAAGGCGGCAUCCUGGACCGACAUUGACGCUGAUGAGCGAAAGCCAGGGGAGCAAACGGG
rnacentral:rRNA from 1 species